UACCUAUAAGACUGGGAGUAACUUCUGGAAACCGGAGCUAAUACCGGAUAAUAUAUUGAACCGCAUGGUUCAAUAGUGAAAGACGGUUUUGCUGUCACUUAUAGAUGGAUCCGCGCCGCAUUAGCUAGUUGGUAAGGUAACGGCUUACCAAGGCAACGAUGCGUAGCCGACCUGAGAGGGUGAUCGGCCACACUGGAACUGAGACACGGUCCAG
rnacentral:rRNA from 1 species